GCGGUGGAGCUCCGCGGGCAGCCUGGUUGCGCUGCACCCACACGACCGCGCCGUUCUCCAGAAUAGCCCCGGCCGCGGCUGAGUCGCGCUUCGGGUGUGGACGGAGCCGGAGCCUCCCCGGGGCGCGGUGAGGACACAGGGCCCAAGCCCCGGGCCUUCAAGUCUUGACCGAGCGCAUCCCCGGCCCUUCUGCGCCCACACCUGAGUUUUUGUCUGUAGGAGUUUCCGCAGUUUGCUAAGGUUGUUAUUCGAGUUACUUAUGUUUCUUCUCUCUAAUGUGUUUUGUUCCCUCUUUAGAAUCGACAUCUAGAGGAGUAUUCACCACUUAAUUGAUGAUCAAUACACGUUCGUUGAAAGAACCGAUAGCAUGCGAUCGAUACAGAGCAUCUGCACUGGGAGUGUCCGCCCCGCCUGGCAGGGAGGCCUCGGGGGCUAAUGGAGCUGAGGGUAUAGUCGGCCUUGGACCCUCGCUUUUUUCCUUUCCUGUACCAUGAAGAUAACUGCCUUAUCUCCCCCUCAGGACUGUUUUGGGGAUUAAAUAGGACGUUUAAAUUACCAACGCUCUUUGAAAUAAACAUUUCAAAAUUAUUAUAACCCUUUA
rnacentral:antisense_RNA from 1 species